rnacentral:rRNA from 1 species
UACGAAGGGGCUAGCGUUGCUCGGAAUCACUGGGCGUAAAGCGCACGUAGGCGGACUCUUAAGUCGGUGGUGAAAUCCUGGAGCUCAACUCCAGAACUGCCUUUCGAUACUGAAGAUCUUGAGUUCCGGGAGAGGUGAGUGGAACUGCGAGUGUAGAGGUGAAAUUCGUAGAUAUUCGCAAGAACACCAGUGGCGAAGGCGGCUCACUGGCCCGAUACUGACGCUGAGGCACGAAAGCGUGGGGAGCAAACAGG